rnacentral:rRNA from 1 species
AUUGAACGCUGGCGGCAGGCCUAACACAUGCAAGUCGAGCGGAGCGGGGGACGGGGGAGUAAUGCCUAGGAAUCUGCCUGGUAGUGGGGGAUAAAGUACGGAAACGGGCGCUAAUACCGCAUACUAUCAGAUGAGCCUAGGGCGGAUUAGCUAGAUGGUGGGGUAAAGGCCUACCAAGGCGACGAUCCGUAGCGGGUCUGAGGGGAUGAUCAGUCAAACUGGAACUGAGACACGGUCCAGACUCCUACGGGAGGCAGCAGUGGGGAAUAUUGGACAAUGGGCGAAAGCCUGAUCCAGCCAUGCCGCGUGUGUGAAGAAGGUCUUCGGAUUGUAAAGCACUUUAAGUUGGGAGGCGUUACCCACAGAAUAAGCACCGGCUAACUUCGUGCCAGCAGCCGCGGUAAUUC